UUCUUUCUACUUCUCAACUCUUCAAUGGCGAAUCGAGUUGUUCUUUACUCUUUUCUGUUUGUCUACAUCUCUCUGAAGCUUUGCUGAAGAUUUUUGUUUGUCUCCGACGACCUACGCAGGUUCUUCUUCAUGGUUUUAGCAAAAUUUCAAUGGCGACUCCAUCUCUUCUUUACUGUUUUCUCUUUGUCUACAGCCUUUAAAUCUGUCUCUCAACCUUUGCUGAAGAUUUCUGUUUCUCUCCGACAACCUGCGCAGCCUUUAAAUUUCUCUCUCAAGGUUUGCUCAACAUUUCUGUUUGUCUCGGACGACCUGCACAGGUAUUUCUUUAUCGUUUACGCGAAAUCUCAAGGGCGAAUCCAUCUGUUCUUUACUGUUUUCUGUUUCUCUACAGCCUUUAAAUCUCUCUUGUCUUUCUUCUUACUCCUUUGUGCUCAAAUUGGGUAUAUUUACUUCUAAUUGUUGGUGCCUACAAGCUAUCGCUGAAGCUGAAGCCCAAUCGUUGAAGAUGGAUGCCAUACCUAUGAGGUGUUUAACAGAAAAUCCAAAAAUAAAAGGGCAGAUUCCAUCACCAUCAAUCUUCUUGCUCCGUGAGAAUCAAGUUGUGGCUAACUAUAACGAGUCCCUAAUUAAAGAUCACCAUUCGGAUUCAAAUGAAAGGCUGGAAAGUGGAUUAAUUCUUUGAUCACAUUUUGCUAUUAUGUAUUCCAGUUAUGCUUUGGCUAUUUGGUAUGGUGCAAGGUUCAUCUCGGAUAAAGGAUAUAUUGGUGGUCAAGUUCUUAAUGUUUUCGACUCCAAGCUUCUCCAUGAAG